rnacentral:lncRNA from 1 species
ACUGCAUUCAAAUAAGGCAAAUGCUGAACUGUGACCAAUCUCACCGUUUCUAUACCUCACUUCCGAUUCCUGUAUGUCACUUUACCUUUUUUGUCUAUAAAUUUGUUCUGACCACAAGGCACCCCUGGAGUCUCUGUGGAUCUGUUGUGAUUCUGGGGGCUGCCCGAUUCACGAAUCGUUUAUUGCUCAAUUAAACUCCUUUAAAUUUAAUUCAAUUGAAGUUUUUCUUUUGUCAGUUGGUGUCAGAAGCGGGAUCCGAAGUGGAACUUCUAGCAGCCCCCCAGGACCACUGCAUGACCCACUUGUGUCCAUUGAUCUCUCAGAGCAGUUGGGGAUCCUGGGACAAUCCCUUCAUGAUCUAGAGCCUGAAGGUAGGAUCUUCUGAGAACAUCAGAAAAAGACUAUCUCUACCAUCCACACUACAGCAAAACUUUGGAGCCUUGAACCUUGGGUUCAUAAUCUCACAAUGGAGAAGGGUCCCUCCACACUCCUAGAACUGUACAUACAUUGGAACCCUUAAGGUAAAACUAACCAGGAAAGUUUCUCCCCAGAAGAAGAUGGCAUCCUUGAUGUAAACUGCUUUUCCCAAGAUCACUAAUCAAGACUUCUACUAUUGAGAGACUUAUCUUUGAAUAUAUUUUCCUUGUUUA